rnacentral:tRNA from 1 species
UGUUCUGUAGUUCAACGGAUAGAACAACUGUCUACGAAACAGUAAAUACUGGUUCAAUCCCAGUCAGAACAA